GUCCACCCGUCAUGCCUGAAGAUGGAUUCGGAGGCUGGCAUCAUCAGUGAUGUUCUACCCAACAGCUGGGAAUGCCCCGAGUGUUGUCAUGCAGGCAAGGGUGGCAGCUCCAAGCCUCGUCAGAUGAAGGGCAUUAAGGAACUAGCGGCAACGCGCGGCAUCGAUGGACUACUCUACUCACCGGGUGGCGCCACCGCAACCGGCCUCGUCUCGCCGGACGGCU